rnacentral:lncRNA from 1 species
CAGGCUCUUUACAGUCCCCUCACGCCAUGGCAGUUGCCCGCUUCCCUGACCGCUGCCUCAGCCUCUCACCUGUUAACUGCUCUCUAGGGUUUGUUAUCACCCAGUUAAGUGCGGCUGCGCGCACAGUCAUUGCCAUCCUCGUCAAGGACCCGGAUGCUUCUUUAAUUUUUUUUUUCCCCCUCACCAUCUGUCUUUCCUUUUCCUUGCCAUCCUCGGCCUGUGCCGUCACCACCCACCUAGUCGUGCCUCUGGCUCUGCUCCUGAGGGAUUCUGCACCACAGACUCCAUGGCAGAGCCCAGGUCCUUUGUUGUUUUAGUUCCUUCACCCUCCUCGUCAGAUGGCGAGAACUUGAAUUCUGCAGUCUGCUCUCUAGGUCUGUGCAUAUGAAUACAGAUGCCUGGGGAGCCCAGAGGAGUGGAAUCCCUAGAGCUGGAGGUGCAGAUGGGCGCCAGAAGAGGACAUUAGACUCCUUGGGACUAGACAGGUCUCUAGAGUUGAUGUUCCGGUCGUGACUGCUCCCUGAUUCUCUGUUGUCUAUCUUGUCUGCUGUGGAGCAAGCAGCUCAGCCUUCCGCAGCGACUCACUUCCCGGUUCUCCAGUGCCCCCUUGUGACUUCCGGUCUCACAUUUGGGCAAGAAUAACACAGAAGCGAUUUUUUGUGUCCUCAGAGCCUCAUGUUGGGAGCCACAGGAUGCUGAUUACCCCAUAACUGAUGACACUCGUCUACACUAACAACACAAGAAGAGACUAACCCAAGGGGAAAGGCAGCCCAGAGUUCCCAACCAUGUCCCUGCAUCUGUGUAGGCAGAGACCUUUACAAUGGAGGCUUCAUGGGACCUGGGCACCUUUGGGAGUUAUAGCUGGAGUUACAAGUAUGGCAAG